CGAUCCACCUAACUCGCUACCUCGACCGUCCGAUGCGGCUCGGGCCGGGUCUGUCGCCCGUUAUUCCACGCAUCCGGGCACUCGGGAACCUUCGCGGACCCGCUCCGAGGCUAGCCUAUCCCCUCCACGGCCGCCGCCUGCGCCUCCCCACACCUGCCACGCCGGCGCAGCGGGCCCCAACGCUGGCCCUCGCCCACACUGUCGUCGUCUUCCACCGCGGCCGCGACGCUUUGCUUCGAGUUUCGCCGACGCAACGACAACCUCCCCCACCUCUCCUACUGCGUCCUCCUGUUUCUCGCCUGGGUCGCGGCCAUCCUCCCCAUCGUCGGUCGGCUCCUCGCGCUGGCGGCGGCCCGUGGCCGUGGACCCCCUUGCGGCCGCGCCUCCUCGCACCGGGUGGCCGAGGCCAGGGCAGCGCGCCACCUCCGGCCGGCCCCCAGCCACUGGCCACCGCGAGGGGAGGGGUCGCGCGCCGCCACCGGCCAGGAGAUAAAGGUGAUAGAGGGGGGGAGGUGCCUCGGUCAGGGGCCAGCCCCUCGCGGCAGCGGCCGAGGGACCCGCAGAGCUCGCGCCCCGUUCGCUGGCGUCGCCGCUCCGCGCCGCUUGCCCCUCCCUUGCCGCGGCGGGCGACGUUCCGUGGCAGCGCCUACCGCCUCCUCCCCGUGAAGCAAGCAGGCGACAUAGCACGGCUUCCCAGCCAGGCGGUGGCGCGGGGAUGGCUGGCUUGGCUUGGCGCGGCGGUCGGGGGCCCAACCUCCACGGAUUCAGAUCAAGAGGCCGAUGAUUGCAGAUACAACCGAUGCGAGCAGGCUCCUCCACACCUACCAUCUAGAGUCACGCCUAAGAGAAGAGCGGGAACAACGGAAUCGUUUUAUGCUUGUCUGAAUCUCACGAUCGAUUUCUACCUCCAGGCUGGGCAUGGUGGAUCUCUUCAGGCUGCUAUCUCCAUGCAGAGACGCCUCCUCGUCCUCAGUAACAUUGCUCGCCAAAUUAUUGAGGAUGUGGCUUGUGUUCACGCGAAUUUCCUGUUGCUUCUAUAUUAUUUUAGCAUCUGCUGGGGCGACAAGCCAGCACAGUGCGCAUUUGGUGGCCGCCAUGGCUCCUUUGGACGUGGCUUUGGAAGCCACCGGAGCAAAAGAAGAAGCCUUCUUGAUGCCAGCCCCUACUACAACAAGAAUUCCAGAAUAACAAGAAUUCCAGAUGUCUGAUUGUGCAGCAUCUCUAACUUACGAAAACGCUGCGAUUCCCGGGCCGUGGAGCGGGUCCACGUCGCUCGUAACCCGUUAACUGUCCGAUCCACCUAACUCGCUGCCUCGACCGUCCGAUGCGGCUCGGGCCGGGUCUGUCGCCCGUUAUUCCACGCAUCCGGGCACUCGGGAACCUUCGCGGACCCGCACCGAGGCCGGCCUAUCCCCUCCACGGCCGCCGCCUGCCGCUCGCCGCUCUCCCCCACCGGCUGGCCAAGGCCCCCCUGUGGCUGGCUCCUUGCGGCGACGGCCGAGGAACACGCGGCCGACUCCUCCAGCAAAAAAGCAGCGAGCGCGAGGGGAGGCCCCGCCGUAGCUGACUCCUCGUGUCGGCGGCCCACGGCCACGCCACCGGCGGCUCCUCCAGCAGAGCGGCAGCAAGGUUGGGGGAGGGGACGCAGUCUCCCCUGCCUUUUUCUCUUGCCCAGAUCUUCGUAAGGAACUCCGAAGGAACACCGUCGCAAGCUCUUCGCUGGGAGCCUGGUACCCAACCACCGCAAAUUGUCCAGGAAGCCAAAAGAACAACCUAUCCCAAAUUAAAAAGAAAUAAUAGUUAACAGGUAUGUAACAUAAACAAGUUUGUUCUUGAUGCAUCAUGAAAAGAUAAACUGUUGAAUUACUAUCGGUAAUCGUGUUCGUGCUGUCAUUCAACUCAAACAGGACAGAUGAAACAUAACUUCCAAACACUCGAACUCGAAGUAGUAUGCAAUAGUCAACUUUGAUCUUAUCUUACUUGUGCCUUCUGUUGUAUGUUCCCUGCCACUCUUACCUCAGGCUAGGAAUAGUUAAAGCUAUCGAGGAAUUUAAGACUUCAGUCUAUGUUGAAAAUUAUGACCAAGAGGAGGCUGAAUUUCACAAGCCAACAACAUCUUUAUCAUACUUUUAAGUUUUAAGCACUUAUUCUUUUAGUUAGAUGCAUCCAUUACCAACUCUAGAUGAUUCAUUGCCUCUGGUAUAAUGGCUCAUACCCUAUUGGAUGAGGCUCACCACCUACCAUGAUCAUUGAAGUUGUCUAAAGCAUGUUGUUCAGUUAUGUGCUUAUCAAAAUCUUUGUAAGAUAUCUUUCCUAUAUCCAGCAAUGAAAUGUUUGCGUAGUAGUAUCUGACACUAAGAAGACAAGUCUUUUGACAGUAUAUUUACGUUCCUGGAAUUGUCUUUGCAAGAGGACCUGCAUUGCUGUGUUGAUUCUACUGAGCAGGUUAGAGUUAUUGUAAAUUUUGUUUGGAACCUCCAACUGGAAUGCUAGAUGAUGAAAAAGGUGAUUUUGUUGGCACCGCAGUCUGUGAGCUUCUAUUCCAGAAAAGAAUUGUCCGAGUAGGCUGGGUAACUCAGUUUUGCCGGAGAUUAGGCAGCAUUGAGUAGGUAAUCUUUAUUUGGAAUCUUACAUGAGCAUAAUUUAGUCCUCUUGAGAGGCUAGCCCUGCAAGAUUGGUGCGCAGGGACAAGGCAAUGCUGUGGUGCAGCACGUCAAGGAAAGGGGCUAUGCUCGCCACCAGCGAGGAGGCUCAGGUUCAAUGACAAUUUCCCCUGCGCGAGCCAUGCCAGGAAGAUAUUUGUAGAUAGGGAUAAAAGAGAUUUAUAUAUGACAACUGUAUGCACAUUUCGUAGUAAUGAAUUUUGUUCUCUGUUGGACUCUUCAGUUUCAUACAGUAUUGGUGGUCAACAAGAUAUAUGUUGUUAGUAACAUAGCUGUUGUUUGAACAAA